UCCGUAGGCGGCUUAAAAGGUGAGGUGUGAAAUCCCACGGCUCAACCGUGGAACUGCGCUUCAAACCAUUAAGCUAGAGGGAGAUAGAGGAAAGCGGAACUGAUGGUGGAGCGGUGAAAUGCGUUGAUAUCAUCAGGAACACCGGUGGCGAAAGCGGCUUUCUGGGUCUCUUCUGACGCUGAGGGACGAAAGCUAGGGGAGCGAACAGGAUUAGAUACCCUGGUAGUCC
rnacentral:rRNA from 1 species